UUCUCUUCUCCCUCUCUCCUCCCGAUUCUUCCUCCAACCGCCCGACCUUUCCCCCUUCUCCUUGACGCCACGGCCACCAUACUUGGAACCGAUCUCUGCCGUUGGUACCAAACGAACCACCAUUCGACCACCGACGUUUCUUGACCCUUCGUCGGAGUUGCCGUGGCCGGAGCUGGUCGGAAAAAUCCAUUUUCGCCGGAUUUCCAGUUCAAACUUUCAGCUCGAUUUUCUCCUUCAAUUCUCCACCAAAUAAGUCGAGUGAGGCACCAGGAGUCCAGCUAAUCCACAGGAGGGACCUUUAAGAGGUCUAGCUAGCUCGGACCAGCAGCCGUAGAAGAACGAAGGAAACCACUCGGGCCAUCAUCCUAGCUUCCGACCCACCACCAAAGUGUAGGAGUUCAUUGUAACUCUUUUGUAAAUCCUGUAAAUUUGUAUAGAAAUGCUCUGAGAUCUUGUUGAACAUAAGGAACUGGUAGGAUUUUUGAGACUGUUUGUCAGGUGGAAGACUUUGUGUUUGGUCAAAAUACAGGGUAGACUCUGCCGAAUUUUCGGCAGAAGUCGAAGGUAAAUUUUAAGAAAUUUGUUUAAGAAAAGGGUAAA